rnacentral:lncRNA from 12 species
CUUUAUGACCGAGAAGGCUUAGGCUUAUGACCAAAGCAGACCAUCCCCUUACAAAGAAAGAAUCAACCUUGGAUGUUUCCUCGUCGUUAGAUCCAAGUUAUGUAUCCUCAGUGGAAACAACCAUCAGCUGACAAUUAAGCUAUUUGCUGACUUAAACGUGGCCUCCUCAUCGCCAGCAUCCCCUCUACUGCAAACUUUGCUUUUUUUAAGGAAAUGCUUUUGAAAUGGUAUCAGUGCCUUUAGCAACCUGGUGAUGCUUCCAAGUCAUAAAAAGAAUUGCAGUGUCCCUGCCAAGGAAUCGAAUGGUGAAGAUUUGCCACACCAUCUAUGGAAGGGUCUAUUGGCUGUGCUGUCAACAAAGGAAGCUACUUGCCACAUGUGCUUACAAAGCACUUGAAAUAUCACUAGCAGGAACAGAGAUGUUUUCUUCCUUCCUUCCUUCCUUCCUUCCUUCCUUCCUUCCUUCCUUCCUUCCUUCCUUCCUUCUUUCUUUCUUUCUUCUUUCUUUCUUUCGUUCUGUUUAUUUCUUUAUUCAUUCAUUCAUUCAUUCAUUCAAGACACAGAGAGAGGUAGAGACACAGGCAGAGGGAGGAGAAGCAGGCUCCAUACCGGAGCCCAAUACGGGACCUGAUCCCAGAACUCCAGGAUUUAUGUCCUGAGCCCAAGGCAGACACUCAACCACUGACCCACCCAGGUGCCCCCGGAGAUGUGCUUUAAAUGUAAAAUUCACAAUGUGAACAAAAGAAUGUAAAAUAUCCCGUAAAAUAUUUUUGUAUUGACUGCAUGUAGAAAUGACAGUAUGUUGGAUAUGUUACAUAAAAUAUUAUGUAAAUUAAUUAAUUUACAUAAUUAAAAUUAUUAAAAUUAAUACCACUGGUUUCUUUUUACUUUUUAAAAUUGGAAGAUUUUGAAUCGCAUACAUGGUCACAUUGUAUUUCAGUUGGAAAGCAUGGAUUUAGAGUGUAAAUAAAUGCAAUUUCCUCCCAUUAAUCA